GGCUCAUUGGUCUAGAGGUUGGAUUCUUGCUUUGGGCCUGAGGAUUCCUGUGUUCAAAUCCCAGAUGAGGUCA